rnacentral:lncRNA from 1 species
GUAAGCGGCAGCUUAUGCUCUGCUCAUAAUUAUAGAUUAAGGGUCUUGUAUGUUAGCCCUCCGAAGGUCCCUUUGGGUUUUCCUUCGCUUCUCACAUGACUUAGACUCUGCAGGGGUCUUAUAAGUUAGCUCCACCUCUAAGUCACCAAGGUAUUAUCAUCCAUUGAGGAUUUUAUAAGUUAGCCCUCCAGAGAUCUCUUUGGGUCUCCCUUUAUUUCUUGUGCGACUUAGGCUCUGCAGGGGUCUU